AUUGAACGCUGGCGGCAUGCUUUACACAUGCAAGUCGAACGGCAGCGCGGGCUUCGGCCUGCUGGCGAGUGGCGAACGGGUGAGUAAUGAAUCGGAACGUGACCAGUCGUGGGGGCUAGCCCGGCGAAAGCCGGCUUAAUACCGCAUACGACCAGAGGGUGAAAGCGGGGGACCGAAAGGCCUCGCGCUAUUUGAGCGGCCGAUGUCGGAUUAGCUCGGUGGUGGGGUAAAGGCUUACGAAGGCGACGUUCCGUAGCUGGUCUGAGAGGACGACCAGCCACACUGGGACUGAGACACGGCCCAGGCUCCUUAGGGGAGGCAGCAGGGGGAAAUUUGGACAAAGGGGGCAACCCUGAACCAGGCAUGCCGCGUGCAGUAAUGAGGCCUUCGGGUUCGAAACCGCUUUUGUUCGGGAAGAAAUCCUCGGGUCUAAUACCCCGGGGGGAUGACGGUACCGUAAGAAGAAGCACCGGGUAACUACGUG
rnacentral:rRNA from 1 species